GGGAGGUUCACACGCAGAUUGCAUUAUGGGUGUGCACACUUUAGGCCUGCGACAACAAAAAGAUUAGCCAUCACUGAUAUAGAAUAAAGUACUUAAUGAAGAAAGCCUUUGUUUUUCUGGUGAUGUAGAGGGAGGGGUCACGGCAGGGUUUUAUCACAGCCUGAUUGGUCCAUUAGACUGAGAGAAAACUUCUUAGCCUUCAGCUAUCCCAUUGGCUCCCAGCUUCCUCUCAGUCUUUCUGGUCCUAGGGCUGUUGAUUUGGCUCCCUAGGUAGGAAAUGUUUUUACUAGUGAGAUUUCUACAAUUCCUUGCUUUAAUUCGUGUUAUUGGCUAUUCUAAAUUGUCUAAAUUACUUAAAUUGAGUAAAUUCAGCUGCGCCCAGAUAGGACAGUCCUUGCUGCCCUAAAAUGGUGGGGAAGGCCCGUAGGGCAGCUCCUCUUUCCUUCCGUGGGCCAGGCUCCCUGUGCUGAUCCCCAGGGCCAUUGUCGGGGGUGCUGGGGGCCAUUCGCAGCCGCGGAAGAGCCCACAGCACGGGCGGCUCGAUUUGGAGGCUUUUGGCGCAAAAGAGGCGAGGGGGAACCGAGUGCAUCGUGCGCGCUGAUGCGCCCUCCUCGCGCUUACCAGCAACCCAGCCGAGCCUAACAGAGAAUUUCCAGCCGCUUCUUCGUCGCAGGCCCCCUCUGACUCCUCAGAAACUUUUCGGAGGCUGUAGUGAGCCACCAGCAACUAGCUCUUUCAAGCGGCGGUGAAGCAGAGCAUUUUAAAAACUCCGACGGAGCUCUGGCGGCCAUUUUGGAAUUGACAUGUGGCCUAGCCCUAAUGGUUGCCUGCGUCUCACAGAUCCUGGUCUACUAUACCACACCAACCCAGGUCCCAGUCUACUGCACCUAAGCCAGCUUGCAGAAAGGUCCCGGUCUACUGUACCAGACCAUCUUAAAGAAGAAACGGCUGGAGACGCAUGAGUGCCACAAAAUGGUGGCCAGGGCUGACUUUCUGCCAGUGGAGGCUACCCUAACCCCCGUGGGCAUGGAGAGCCUCCCAGACCAACCCAGGUCACGGUCUACUGUACCAGACCAACCCAGAUCCCGGUCUACUGCACCUAAGCCACUGGCUAGCACAAGAGCAUCCAGAGCGGUUGAAAAGGAUGAGCUUAGAAGGCAAAAGGCCUUGGAGAAGACAAUUGCUAGGGCAGAGAAACAGGACUAAUCCAGCAGGCCCCGAUCCAGGUCUAGGUCCCCAGUAGGGCCAGAUCCACGACAUUCACCUUCUCCUCGGGGUCGCUUCAGUCCUUCCUCCCCAUCAGCUUCCCCCUCCAGAUCCUACAUCAGUUCUAGGAGGGAGGGUUCCCCUUACUCCCUGCCAGGGUCCCCCCUACCUCAGGUGCAGAAACCUGAAAACCCCUUGGGGGUUCCUCUAGAGGCGUCCGUCCUGGGUCUCAUCAACAUGAUCCAGAUCCCUAUCAGGACAUGGAGGAUCUAGAACGCCUCCCAGAGAGUAUCAAGAGGUUGAUCUCAACUGCCAUAUCUCGUGGCAUUGCGCAGAGGGACAAACCUUCUUACCAUACCAAGUCUCAUUAUUCCUCAAGGACUCGGUCCAGGGACGUCUCUCCUUCCCUAGUUAGUGAGGGUUCCACGCGGGGUGAUGGAAACCAAAGUGAUAUGGGGUUUUCCAAAGAUGAGGACUCCGCUCUGGAUUCCCCAUCCUCUUCUAACCUUCUUCCACCCGCAGCCUUCAAGACCUUGCUUCACAAGGCACGCAAGACCACUAAAAUAGGGACUGGGGAUCCCACUGUUCCUCCUCCUAGGGAUCCUGACAUGGCAAUGUUCUUCAACACUGAUGUCAAUAAAGAGGAGAUUCCGGCUCCUCCGUUUUUUCUGGAGGUGCUCAAAGGGCCUUGAUCUCACCCUGCUAACUUCUCCACACCAGGCAGCAAUGAUCAUCGCGUCUAUAAUCUGGAGAAGGCAUUCGCUCAGGCCCUGCAGUUGCCCGCAAUCAACACUCCGAUUGUGGCCCUUGUCUCGUCUUCCCCAGUCAUAUCAGGGGACGCGCUGGACAAGAUGAAACCCGAAGAUAAACAGGCAGAGCUUACCAUCAGGAAAAAUUUUAAGGCCAUGGCCUGGGCAAUUAGGGCCGCAGCCGCAGCAUCGUACUUUAACCGUAAUACGGUGAUGUGGCUGUGCCAACUCCGUAUCCCAAUAGAAGACGAGGAAUUCCAUCAGGACAUCACCAAAAUUAUGGCGGCCUCAUAAUACUUUGCCAACGCCACCUUAGAUGCAGUCAAGUUUUCCUCUAGCGCCCUAGCCACAUCUGUCACUUCUCGCCACCUGCUCUGGCUGAGAAGUUGGCAGAUGGACAAUAAGUCCAAAUGGAACCUGGCCGCCGCACCGUAUAUGGGCCCGAGCCUCUUCGGGAAGGCCCUGAUUUUGGUAGAGAAUAAGGAGAAGAAGGUGCUACCUUCCACGGCUAAGAAGUCAGAAUCCCAUCCCCACCCCUACCACAGACCAUCAUUUAGGGACCCAAACCAUAAUAAUCAGGCCAGAUUCCAGACCUUCAGACAGGACAGGCAGUUCCAGCGAUCCACAUAUCAGGACCACAACAGGUACCAGCCACAAUCUAAGUGGCCCUUUCGCAGGGGGGGGGGGCGAUUGUCCCUUCCGCAGAGGGAAAUGACUCGAAACCAAGUCAACCCAUAGGUGGCCACUUCGCUCCAUAUGCAGAUCAGUGAGACAGGAUCACCACAGAUGCCUGGGUCAGAGCCACAGUUCGCCACGGCCUGAAGCUGGAAUUCCUCUCCACUUCUCCGAAUCUCUUUCGGAACUUCACUCCAUCCAGGAACCCAGAGCGCCGCCACCUGAUGGAUCUUGCCGUAGCCCACCUGCUAGAGAUCAGGGUGGUGGAAGAGGUUUCCUCUUGGGAACGUGGACAAGGUCACUAUUCGCACCUGUUCGUGGUCCUCAAGAGCUCGGGGGGUGGUGGAGGGCUAUCCUGGACCUCAAACGUCUGAACCAGUAUCUGGUUUACAGACGGUUCAAAAUGUCAUCUCUAAAGACCAUCCUCCAGGGCAUCCGCCGGGGGGAUUUCCUGGCCUCCGUGGAUCUGACGGAGGCCUACUUACAUAUUCCGAUGCUACAGACACACCGGAAAUACCUGUGGUUCUCCCACGGAGAAUGCCACUUCCAAUACCGUGCACUCUCAUUCAGUCUGGCCUCGGCCCCACGCACCUUCAUGAAGGUCCUGGCAGCAUUGGUGGCUCACCUCCGCUCGAAACCAGUGAGACUUCAAUGCUACCUAGACGACGUGUUGGUUCAAGCAGGUUCCCUCCAUCAGGCAAUACGCAGUCUCCGGCUCACCAUCCAAUGCCUCCAGUCCCUAGGGUUCUCUGUAAUUUUCCCGAAAAGUCAUCUGUCCCCGUCCACACAGAUCCUUCAUCUAGGGACGAUCAUAAAUGCAGAAUCAGGGAUAGUGCAGCUCUCCCUGGAACACCUAGCCAGUCUUCGCCAACUAGUAGCUUCAGUCCGCAGAAGGCGGUCCGUUUCCAUCCUGAUCUUGUCUCAGCUACUUGGCAAGAUGGUAUCCUGCAUAGGGAUUGUUCCUUGGGCCAGGCUGCACCUACGUCCACUCCAGUGGGCCUUGAUCCCCUUCCAAAAGAGGCACCUGAGCAAUUCUAACUGAACUUUGCGCCUGACACCAGAAGUCCGCUCGUCCCUCCUGUGGUGGCUAUCCCCAGUGGUACAAUGGGGGGGCUUGUUCUGGGAGCCGGACAGGGUAACCAUAACAAAGGAUGCGAGCCUCUUCGGCUGGGUGGCCGUAAUGGACACCAACAUAGCCCAGGGUCAGUGGUCUGCCACGGAUCUUCUCCACAAUAUAAACCGGCUAGCACUCUGACACUUCCAGCAUCAACUUCAGGGCCAACACAUCCUACUUCUCACGGACAACGUGGCCACAAAGGCACACGUAAAUCGACAAGGGGGGACACAUUCCCGGGCCUUGUGGCAGGAGGCCCUAUGGCUGGGGAUGUGGGCUGAGCGACACCUAGCCUCCAUAGUUGCAGAGCACAUCUCCAGGGAGAUGAAUCACCAAGCAGACUGGCUGAGCCAAGUGACCCUGGACAAUGGAGAGUGGCAGCUCAUUCCAGAACUAUUCCAGAAGGUCUGCCAGAGGUUUGGCAUGCCAGUGGUGAAUUUAUUUGCCACACCCAGAAACGCCCAACUACCGCGCUUCUUCUCCCGGUUCUGGUCCCGAGAGGCGGAGGGCACGGAUGCUGUCAGGAGCCACUGGCCAGCGGGCCUACUUUAUGCAUUCCCUCCCAUCUCCCUCAUUCCCGGGAUGGUCAGGAAGAGUCAGAGAACGGGCUCAGGUCAUCCUACUUGCCCCCUACUGGCCCAGGAAUCCAUGGUUUGUGGACCUAAUCCAACUGUUGGUCUCCCCACCCUGAAGGAUACCUCGGGAGGAAAUCGCUUUGUGUCAGGGGGUCCUGGUGCACCCGGAGCCCCAGUGGCUCCACUUGACCGCCUGGCACUUGAGCAGCAACUCCUGAGGAGUGUUAAUCUGUCCAAGGGGGUCAUUGCCACCAUCGAAGCAUCUAGGCGGCCUUCCACUACCAGAAUAUACAACUCCACUUGGAAGACAUUUGUGUUCUAGCCAUGACCUUGAUCCCUCCAGGGCCUCAAUCUCCAUAGUCUUGGAAUUCCUGCAAAAGGGUUUCGAGAACGGUCUGUCCCAAAACACUUUGCGCAGACAGGUGGCAGCCUUAGGCACGGUUUUGGAGGGGGAGGACUCUUAUACCCUCACACAUGCUCCCCUCACUAAACGCUUUCUAAAAGGGGCUGCAAACCUUUGUCCACCCCCAUUCCAUAGAUUCCCUACCUGGGAUCUCCCGCUGGUCCUCAGAGCAUUGACAGGGGAACCGUUCGAACCACUCAGGAUGGUUCAUAUGUGCCUAGUCACCCUUAAGGUGGUGUUCCUGGUAGCUGUCACCUCAGCCAGGCAUAUAUCUGAGUUGGGUGCCCUCUCUUCUAGGGAUGACCUCUGUCAGUUCCAUCCUGGCAGAGUGGUCCUCCGUCUAGAUGCCACAUUCCUCCCGAAGGUGAGUAUCCCGUUCCAUAGGGCUCAGGAGGUUAUUCUGCAUAAUUUUUGCCCGGAUCCGUCCCAUGAACGCAAACGGCUCUGGCAUAGGCUGGACGUUCGCCGGGCUCUCCGGAUUUACUUAAGAAGGACUGUGACAAUUUGCAGAUCAGAGGCUUUGUUUGUCUCCUUUCGACCGGGGUCCCUGGGAUCUAGGGAUUUUUCAUCCAUCAUAGGGAAGUGGCUGAGACAGGCCAUCAUGGCUGCCUAUGAAGCAUCAGGUCAGGCUUCCCCUGCAGGCAUCACUGCCCACUAUACACACAGCACCACCAUGACUGCAGCCUGGGCCACUAGGGGUCCAUUUGAAGACAUCUGCCGAGUGGCCACGUGGGCCCCUCCAACUCCGUUUAUAUGACACUACCGGCUGGACAUCUAUGCCUCGGCUGAGGCGUCCUUUAGUAGAAGGGUCCUUCAACAGGUGGCAGUCACUCCUCCCUGGGUCCUUCUCCUUCCCUCCCUGGGAUUGUAGCUUAGGUAUGUCCCUGCCGUGACCCUUCCCUCUACAUCACCGGAAAUAGAACUUUGGUCUUACUUGAACGUGUCUUUUAGGUGAUGUGGAGGGAGGGGUCACGUUCCCACCCUAGCUAGUUGAGUUAGGGUCCGGGGGAGGUCUCUUCUGGGAUCUCUGUGGGUUUUGUUUGCAGACAAGGACUCUGUUCGCCAUCGAGGAAACUGGGAGCCAAUGGGAUAGCUGAAGGCUAAGAAGUUUUCUCUCAGUCUAAUGGACCAAUCAGUCUGUGAUAAAACCCUGCCGUGACCCCUCCCUCCACAUCAGACACAUUCAGGUAAGAACCAACGUUCUUUUUCUAUUCACAAUUAGUUCUUCAAAAAAGGGCAGAUUUUAGAAAAUCAUUAUGAUUUGCAACUUUUUCUUCCAUCAAAUAAAGGAACUUUUUAUUCUAUCUAUUAUACUCAAAUCUUGCAUAUUUUUAUUUCUAAGAAGACUGACAUAAUUAAUCUUGUCCCCAUUCCUAUUUGCGCUCUUAAAAAUAAAAUAAUAUAUAUGUUAAUUUGGUUUUCCCUUGGCUUUUUCCCCUUCUGACUUUACUCUCAUGUAGUCUAUUUGUAUAUGAUGAAAUGUUUAAAAAUGAGAAAAAUAUUCUAAUCAAAUAUUAUGUGAUUCUCAUUUUUAAAAAGAAAAUUAACUGAAUAUUUUUUUUAAUCUGGCCAUAAUCUACCCCUAGAAAAUUCAAAGUGCAAAUAUUGAUAACAUAAGAUGCUAAUUUAGCACCCAUUUCAUUGCUGUUAAAAGCAAAUGAUCCUGUCAAAAAAUAGUGGUUGACAUUUAAUUUAAUACCAUAAUCAUGACUGAAAACUUAAAAGAUUUGUACCCAGAUUUUCAAUAUUUAAAUGAAAAUUUGACAGUGUAAUAACAAGCAAUGGCUGUCAUUCCCCUAAUAAAAUAAUUUAAAAUCUCAUGCAAUGUAAUCUAAUUGAAAUGUCUUGAUAUUUUGUUUAUUUUUUUGUAUCUUUUACAGUGUUUCAAAAAUUUGGUGAAAAGAUCAUGGAUGACUUAUGCAAUAAAGUACAUGAUACUUGACUAGAAGAUGAGCUCUGACUAAAUACUUUGAAUGUUUUGGUAAAUUUAUUUAUUUAUCUGCAUUUAUAUCUGCAUUUCUUAAUGUAUUUUUUUUCUUUUGUCUUUAUGACAAAGUUGCAAACUUUAUUAACAAAACAUUGUUACUAAAGUCUUACUAAUGAACUAGUGAUAGCAAAUAAAAUGGUCCUGCAUUUUAAAAUAAUUUCUCAUUAAAUUACAGGAGAGAAAAUAUGUUGUGGAAAUUGCUGGAGAAGUUCCUAUUUUUCUGGAGAAAACCUGCAAAAAUAAUCUCUUUUUUUUGGCCCCAUACUCAAUGGAGAAUUUGGAAAUAUAAUUUUUGCUUAGGUUUAGAAAUAAAUCAACCACGCCCAAUCUUACUUAUAACUUAACAGCUUGUUUAGAACUGCUUGUUAUUUGAUCACUGUAUUCCACGAGGGAAGGGGGGGAGCUCUUUACUGCUAUAUAUUCAUUAAAUCCAUUCUGAACUAGCAAUAAUACAUUGACUAUUACUAUGGAACAUUGGUUCCGGUGUUGGAACAAUUCCCUAUUACCUUCCUCCCACGCUGAAAAUAGGUACUUUAUUUCUCCUCUUUGUCCUUUUAUGUCCUUGCUAGUUUUAAAUUAAUGAUUAGCCCAAGUUGUAAUGUUUCUUCUACCAACUUCUGUCUAUGUAUAGCCUCUAAAACUUAACCAAAUUCUCCUUAUUAAUUUUGCUUUGUCCUUUGUUCUACUUCUAUUAUUUAUUUGAUGGCUGUUGUUUUAGUAUGGAGUGAGAAGAAAAAUUUGGUAAGAAAUAAUCAUAUAGCUGAAAAAAUUAACUUUCAAUUUUUUUUCUAAGCAGCCAGUAUUUCUUGUUCAUAAAUGACUUCUUCUUUCCAGCUGUUGCAUUAUUGCUCUAUUAUGUUGUUUUCUUGAAAGGGGGAAAGAGGAAGAAAGGAGGUAGAUAAAGAAACUGCCUCCAUUCUUGACAUAAGCAUCAUCAUAAUUAACAGGACAGGCUGUUCUGUGAAUCUCAUUUUCAGGUAAAGCAUGUGCACAAAUAUGAUAUUUUCUCGAGAUGUUAUUCAAUAAUGUCUUUCAGUGAGACAUCAGAGCGGGUUGAUAAUGCUGCCAGAAGUACAAAUUCAACUCUUCAGUUCUGAUAUGAUCAAACAGAGGAGGUGGUGCGCUCAGAGUGUCAUCAGUUAAAGAUUGUCAUUUAUAAGAACCAAAGAAGUAUAUCUUCUCUGUCAUAGUGUCAUCCUCUGCAAUAUUACCCCAAGAAAGAAAGAAAAAGAAAGAAGGAAGGAAGGAAGGAAGGAAGGAAACCUCAAAGAAACUAACCCACACAAAACCAAAAUCAAAAUGGUCAGAAGCAGAAUGGCUAAGCAACUCUUCUAUCACUAUAUUUCUCCAAAUCUUCCAGCCUUCCUUUUUCUCAUAAAAAGGAGCCGCUUGAAAUUGGUUAUAGACUUUGAAGACUACUGUCCAUUUUAUUUAUAUCACUAUACUAUAACUGUCUUCAUUUUGUGAAGAUCACACAUCUGGAUUGACAGCCUCCUAUUGAUACACAUGAUACUAUAGGGGACGACCUUUGAUUGGAUAUAAAGGUGGAUAAAGUGGAACAGCACAAGGCCUAGAAUUAAAUCCUGUGACACCAUCAAACUGCUGAAAAACCCUCUUUGAAUUUGAUUUUUGAACUAGCUGUGUAUUAUUUGCUAUGCUAUCAAAUUUAUGUUUAACUAGCUUAACUAGUAAAAAUUUUUACUACCAGUUCUGUGGGCAUGGCUUAGUGGACAUGGCUUGGUAGGCGUAGCAGGCGAAGGAUACUGUAAAAUCACCAGUAGGAGGCAGGGCUAGUCAGAUGUUGUAUUUACCGGUACUCCAAACUACUCAAAAUUUCCGCUACCGGUUCUCCAGAACUGGUCAGAACCUGCUGAAUACCACCCUUUGGAGUGGGAGAGACUUCUGACUUUCUGCCUGUUACCCAUUGACAGUAUCAGAAGUCACAAAACAUGUGAUUAGGGGGCUCUUGCAGCCGCCACAAUUUGUGAAUAAAAGUAAUCUGAAUAUCCUUGAAAUUUUAAUUCCACAAUAGUCAUGGGUUCAAGAUCUUUUAACACUUUUUUUUUAAGAUCAUGGAUUUGAAGUACCAUAAUACAAAAAUUAUUCUGCUCUAAUAUACUGUUUGGACUAAUUGAAGGGUAUAAACAGAUGCACAAUAGGAGUUGUAUUAGUAUCUGCAAUCCACUUUCCCAUUCAGUCCUUUUCUCCCUCAAAUAAAAACUGACUGUCCUUUUGUCAUAGAAGUUUGAAUAAGUUAGAAAAGUAGAAUUUUCAAAAAAGUAACUUUCAACCAACUUCAUUCCUAUCUCCAUCAGAGAAGGAAUGUAUUUCAACUUGAAUGGAAAGCACAAUUUCACAGCUGGGUUUGUAGUUUAAACUGUAGCUUUGUUCACCUCCCAUGUAGGAUUUGGGCUUCUAUUACCAUCAACCUUAAGCAAAGGGUGAAUAGUAAAGGACUGCUAAGACCUGCAUUGCAAAACACAUCAUGAAGUCCACAUAUCUUGUAGUUACCAGUGUUUGAAAACACUGAUCUACUAGUUAGAUCUGACCCUUCUUAGUUUUUCUACCUAUUUUUUCAAUAUCAGCCAAGGUCAUCCAAGGGCAAUGCAGCAUCUUCAAAGGUGUUAAUAAAUAGCUAUGAAGGCAAAGAGUUUUACAACUUAAUUGAAGUCAUAUUUUGCUUUAUUUUUUAAAUAUGAGCUAUGGAUAUGAUUAUCAUUUUAAGGAGUUUGGACCACAAAUAAAUAAUAUCAUUUUGGAAUGGAAGACUAAAAACUGAGCCUUUCACAGCAACUUUCAAAACCAAUUUUUAGGAGAAAGGAGCUGAUGUCACAAAAGAAUGAUGUGCGACCUCAGAGCUCCGAGAUCGCAGCCAACACUUUUGCCGCUAGAUGGUCCAUUCGGACCUAAACCAUCCCGAAGAGAUGGUGACAGGGAAGAGUAUGUCUUGCUGAUCACAGGGACAUCACAAAGUCCCUGAUUGAUCCAAUAGAAUCUCUUCUUGCUGGCGACAAAAAGCACAGUCUCAAGUUGCUGAAGUCGGGACAGCUCCGCAAUGGGAGGAAAGGGGAAAGAGAAAGUGUGUCCAUCUGGUGAGGAAAAUUUAUUUUAAUAAAAGACUGCCCAAAAAAGAUUGAAGUUAAAUUAAACUGGUAAAGAAAAGAAAAUAAGCAGUGAAUCUAAGUAUUAUUGAACAGUGUGUUAUCUUUUUAUUUUUUUCUAUCGAUGGAAGUUUUUUGAAUUUUUUUUACUUUUUAAAGUGAAAGU